UCUGCCCAAAACUCCUCUGCUCUGCAAUUGAAAUCUCUGCUGUUUCCAGACGAGUCUCGGAAUCUGAGGGAUUUCCUUACUUUUUAAUGACUACCAUUGAACUCCGCUAUCAGGUGCUGGAAAACCCACAAGGUCCGGUCAGAAAACAAGCAAGCAGAGGAAACCUGUGCUCCCAAGCUUGGGAUCUGGUGGAGUCACUGCAACCUGGCAGGAGCAACAGAAAUAUGCAUAUCCGUCUGCUUAGAGCAAUUCAGAGCACGGAAUGAUGACUAAAUUAAGUGCUGUGUGAUUCAUCGGACUCGCCGUGAGGAAGAGAGGGGAGCUGGAUUUUGUUCAGCACGGAAAAGACAAAGCGUGUGUAGCAGAGAAAGGGAAUGUGGUGAGAGAUGGGAGGAUAUCAGGCUGUAGAAAAGAGGGAGCCUGCAUGCACUUGUACACCUAGGAAGGAAAACAUUAUUUCUUCCCUGUUAUUUUACUGGCAAUUAAAGCAAGUUCCUGCAGAAAGCUGAAGAGUUUGAACAACUCUCUGAUGCACAAAAAUCACGUGGAAGCUCUCAAACUUCCUCCCUGUUGUUAAUUCUGUCUGCAGUCUGUGCUCUGACCCUUCCCGCUGCAGCUGGGAGGUGUUAAGGCAUCCCGGGCACUUAGAAAUGUCUGAUAAGAGAAAACUCACAGCACCGCCAAAUCCUUUGCUAAAUCUCUCUCUCUCUCCCUUUUUUUCCCCCAGUAUGUCACUAAAGAUUUCAGAACCAAAAUGUGCUUAAUGAAAUUCCAGAUAUAUAUCCUCUUAAAAUGACAACGCCUGGAAGCAACUGUUUUUAAGGCAACAGAAUAUUGAUGAAUUAAAAACCUGCCGACCCGGAGGAGCUGACCAACUUCAGAAGGGGAUUUAUCUCAGUUCCUUGCAAUAACGGAGUCACAAAACGUAUUUCAGUUUCUCAGGCUUGCAUCAGCUCCUGAGACACCGUGUACUUUUAAGGUAAUGACAUAAUCCACUGCAAAGGGGUACUUGCUGGGACACCUGGCAGAGGUGAGAUGUGCCUGCAGGGCUGUGCCAGGGAGGGCACUGAGCUGUGCGCCCCAAUACCAGCCCUGUGCUGGGAGCAGAACUGGGGCACUGGGUUUGCAUCCAAAAGCAGGAGGAGAUCUGGCUGUGCUACAACUCGUUGCGUGCACACAACUCGCUUGUGCUACAGAAGGCACAGUCUGGGGAUGAGAGCUAGAGGAGGAUCAAACCUUCCAAUACAGUAUCAUGCACUGCCAUGGUGCUGAUGAUGGGUACACACAUGUGCCACUCAUCCCAUACGGACAGCAACGCUAUGGACAGGAGAGCGCAGUGCCGCACACUGCAGAAUACUCUAAGCAGUCCUGAAGGUAUUUCAUCACUCCUGCCCUAUACUACACUGAUGGAACCAUAGAAGAGGCUGAUGCUCUUGGCAAGAAGACAUGGUGAAUCACUGUUUCAUUUUACUCAUUUUAGAUGAAAGAGGUAAUAAUAAAGAGCAGAAGUUGAGUAACUACAAGGGAGUACCACGCAUGGCUUGUUUCCCACAGGAGGACAUUCGAAGGGCCCCCGGGCACCUCCAGAUGCUGUACCAUGAAGAACACAGGCACCACCAACCCCUGCCCUCAGCUCCUGACACCCCUGGACCCGUUAUGGGCUCUCAUCCCUAGCAGUCCCAGCUUGCACGUGUGCAGAAAUCUGAGCACGGAUGAGGGACUGAAGUCCCACCAGAACAGACCACCCACUUUCCUCAAAAGAAUAUGCACCAAGCUGUAAAAUUUGUACCCAGGAGGGAGGCUCCCACUCAACCCAUUUCCCAGGCACUGAUGGACAGGUUUGCACUUCCACGGGGACCCCCAUCCCAAGGGCACUGCAUUUCAGAGGGCAGCUCAUGACAGAAAUGAUCUCCAUCACACUGUAAUCACCUCCCCAGCCAAAGCCAACCUGCAUGUCCACAGCAGCAAAGUCUCCUGACAUUAGUAUAGUGAGCCGUAGGCAAGGCUGAGAUGAGAUGGGAAGAAAGAACAAGCCCUCGUUUUCUACUGUUACCUCUUGUCCCUACAUCCGUAUUCUGAUUCAUUGUUUAUGACAAUAAACAGUGGCUUUCAUCAGGACUUGCAAUGUAAUGGGAUGCAGAAAGGCCAUUUCAAAGUAUAAACACUGAAUUUUUAUUUGGGAAAAUUGAACUCAUUUGUAGUUUUUAGACUUCACCGACUACACAUUUAAUUGAAAUGCACACAGAAUUAGGUAGAUGCUCAUGUACCCAAAUGCUGCUGGGCAUAUUGGAUUCACUUGAAUACAAUAACUUAUUUCAGUUAGAAGAUGACAGUUCUGUAACAGCCUGAGCUUUACUGUGUAGUUCAGCUGAGCUUCAUUUUGAUUGGAAAAUAGCAAGCAAAUGCAGUCACUGGGGAUUUUCCAUGAAAGUACAAUUGAUUUUUAACAAUAAAUCCUGUCUGCAGGACUGCACUGAA